UUAAUUCAAUUAGGACACUGGUCUGUGUUCUUAUUGAACACGGAAAUUAAAUUCAAGUAGGAAAAUUUUCUUGUAAAAAGUGCAAAAUGUUUACAGAAACACUAGGAAACCUUUCCUAACAAGAAAAAGUUUCCCUCGCCCAUAAAUAGACAAGUUCACAACACAACACAACCCACCACAUUGCUUUUAGCUACUCUGCUCUCUCUGUUUUAUCUCUGCUUCUUUAUUUGCAUUCUUCGAUCUCGCUUCAAAAACCCUCAAACUCUCUCGCUUCGUCUUCUUCGAUCUUCUGCUUCUUCGUUACGAUGACCAACAAAGCUGAUCAAUCUUCGGACACUGGGGGUUCAAAGAAGGACUUCACUACGGCAAUCCUUGACCGCAAGAAGGCUGUGAAUCGCCUUGUUGUGGAUGAAGAUAUCCAUGGCGACAACUCUGUCGUCACGCUCCACCCAGAGUCUAUGGAGAGGCUCCAGCUAUUUCGUGGGGACACAAUCUUGAUCAAGGGAAAGAAAAGGAAGGACACAGUCUGCAUUGUAGUUGCUGAUGACAAAUGUGAGGAACCAAAGAUAAGGAUGAACAAGGUUGUCAGGAGCAACCUACGGGUUAGGCUUGGAGAUGUCGUUUCUGUUUACCAAUGCGCUGAUGUCAAGUAUGGAAACCGUGUUCACGUACUCCCUGUGGAUGACAGUAUCCAAGGGGUGACUGGAAAUCUGUUUGAUACAUAUUUGAGACCUUAUUUUUUCGAGGCCUACCGACCCGUGAGGACGGGUGAUCUCUUCCUUGUGAGAGGAGGGAUGAGGAGUGUGGAGUUCAAGGUUGUCGAAACUGACCCUCCUGAGUACUGCGUGGUGGCUCCCGACACCGAAAUCUUCUGUGACGGGGAGCCUGUGAGAAGGGAGGAUGAGGAGAGGUCAUUAGAUGAGGUUGGAUAUGAUGAUGUUGGUGGAGUAAGGAAACAGAUGGCUCAAAUUCGCGAGUCGGUGGAGCUGCCGCUGAGGCAUCCUCAGCUGUUUAAGAUAAUUGGUGUGAAACCACCAAAGGGUAUUCUGUUGUAUGGACCUCCUGGAACUGGUAAGACUCUAAUUGCCCGUGCUGUGGCUAAUGAGACUGGGGCAUUCUUUUUCUGCAUCAAUGGACCAGAAAUCAUGUCGAAACUGGCUGGGGAGAGUGAAAGCAACCUCAGGAAAGCUUUUCAGGAAGCAGAGAAGAACGCACCAUCAAUCAUCUUUAUUGAUGAGAUCGAUUCAAUUGCUCCCAAGAGAGACAAGACAAAUGGAGAAGUUGAGAGGAGGAUUGUUUCCCAACUCUUGACACUCAUGGAUGGACUAAAAUCCCGUGCGCAUGUAAUUGUUAUCGGGGCUACAAAUCGUCCAAAUAGCAUUGAUCCAGCUCUCAGAAGGUUUGGAAGAUUUGAUAGGGAAAUAGAUAUUGGUGUGCCAGAUGAAGUUGGGCGUCUUGAGGUUCUGCGUAUUCAUACCAGGAACAUGAAGCUUGCUGAAGAAGUUAAUUUAGAAAAGAUAGCUAAGGACACACAUGGUUAUGUUGGUGCUGAUCUAGCUGCUUUGUGUACUGAGGCUGCACUUCAAUGCAUCAGAGAGAAGAUGGACGUGAUUGACUUAGAAGAUGAGGAAAUAGAUGCCGAGAUACUUAAUUCAAUGGCAGUUACAAACGAGCACUUGCAGACGGCUCUUGGCACGAGCAACCCAUCCGCUCUUCGUGAAACAGUUGUUGAGGUGCCGAAUGUUAGUUGGAAAGAUAUCGGAGGUCUCGAGAAUGUCAAGAGGGAACUUCAAGAGACGGUUCAAUAUCCAGUGGAGCAUCCUGAGAAAUUUGAGAAAUUUGGAAUGUCACCCUCAAAGGGAGUUCUUUUCUAUGGCCCUCCUGGAUGUGGUAAAACUCUUCUCGCCAAAGCUAUUGCCAAUGAGUGUCAAGCAAACUUCAUCAGUGUCAAGGGACCUGAAUUGCUUACAAUGUGGUUUGGAGAGAGUGAGGCCAAUGUACGUGAAAUUUUCGACAAGGCCCGUGGAUCUGCUCCAUGUGUCCUGUUCUUUGAUGAACUUGAUUCCAUUGCUACACAGAGAGGUAGCAGCGUAGGCGAUGCUGGGGGUGCUGCUGAUAGGGUACUGAACCAACUCCUUACGGAAAUGGAUGGAAUGUCUGCAAAGAAAACUGUUUUCGUCAUUGGGGCCACCAACAGACCUGACAUUAUAGACCCUGCACUUCUACGUCCAGGCCGUCUGGAUCAGUUGAUUUACAUCCCUCUCCCUGACGAAGAAUCUCGCCAUCAAAUAUUCAGGUCUUGCUUGAGGAAAUCUCCUGUUUCCAAAGAUGUGGACAUUAGAGCCCUUGCCAAGUACACCCUAGGAUUUAGUGGUGCUGAUAUAACAGAAAUAUGCCAGCGUGCGUGCAAAUAUGCCAUUAGAGAAAACAUUGAGAAGGAUAUUGUGAGGGAUAGGAGGAAAAAUGAGAACCCUGAGGCUAUGGAGGAGGAUGUUGAUGAUGAAGUAGCAGAGAUCAUGGCAGCUCAUUUCGAGGAAUCCAUGAAGUAUGCUCGUAGGAGUGUUAGUGAUGCUGAUAUCCGUAAAUACCAGACAUUUUCUCAGACAUUGCAGCAGUCAAGAGGGUUGGGAACAGAAUUCAGGUUUGCAGACAGAGCUGCUGGAUAUGACCCUUCUGCAACUGCGUCUGCUGGGGCUGAUGGAGAUGACUUAUACAGUUAGGAUCGUUUUGUUUCCUGUAUUUUUCGUGUUUGUUCCAGUUUUGCUUUAGAGAGAAAAAUCGUAGAUGAAUUUUGAGCUGGUUGACAGAAUAACAUAUGAUUUGGUUUGAUUGUGUUUUUUCUUUUUUUCUGUCUUUUCUUCUUGUAUUUGUAGCUAGAAAUACAAACGGAUUUUAUCUACUUUCUGGA